GCAUAUCAAUAAGCGGAGGAAAAGAACCCACCAGGGAUUGCCCCAGUAACGGCGAGUGAAGCGGCAACAGCUCAGAUUUGGAAUCUGGCCCCCAGGGCCCGAGUUGUAAUCUGGAGAGGAUGCUUCUGGCGCGGCGCCUUCCGAGUUCCCUGGAACGGGACGCCGGAGAGGGUGAGAGCCCCCGUACGGUUGGACGCCUAGCCUUUGUGAAGCUCCUUCGACGAGUCGAGUAGUUUGGGAAUGCUGCUCAAAAUGGGAGGUAAAUUUCUUCUAAAGCUAAAUACCGGCCAGAGACCGAUAGCGCACAAGUAGAGUGAUCGAAAGAUGAAAAGCACUUUGAAAAGAGGGUCAAACAGUACGUGAAAUUGUUGAAAGGGAAGCGCCCGUGGCCAGACUUGUGCCCCCGCGGACCACCCGGCGCCCUCAGCGCCGGUGCACUCCGCGGGGCGCAGGCCAGCAUCGGUUUUCCUAGGGGGAUAAAGGCGGCGGGAACGUGGCUCCUUCGGGAGUGUUAUAGCCCGUCGUGCCAUGCCCCUGGGGGGACCGAGGACCGCGCUUCGGCAAGGAUGCUGGCGUAAUGGCCACCGGCGACCCGUCUUGAAACACGGACCAAGGAGUCAAGCAUUGGGGCGAGUGUCUGGGUGCCAAACCCGCACGCGAAAUGAAAGUGAACGCAGGUGAGAGCUUCGGCGCAUCAUCGACCGAUCCUGAUGUUCUCGGAUGGAUUUGAGUAAGAGCCUUACCGCUUGGACCCGAAAGAUGGUGAACUAUGCCUGUAUAGGGUGAAGCCAGAGGAAACUCUGGUGGAGGCUCGCAGCGGUUCUGACGUGCAAAUCGAUUCGUCAAAUAUGGGCAUGGGGGCGAAAGACUAAUCGAACCAUCUAGUAGCUGGUUACCGCCGA
rnacentral:rRNA from 1 species